ensembl:snRNA U1 U1 spliceosomal RNA
UUCCUUAACCUGGUAAGGGAGACUUCAUGAUAAUGGUGGUGGUUUUCCCACAGCAAGGCUCACCCAUUGCACUGGGAUGUGCUGACCCCUAUGAUUUCCACAAAUGUGGGAAACUUGGCUGAAUGAUUUGUAUUAGUGGGGGUGGGGGAACUGUGUUCGCACUCUCCUCUG